UAGGUCAGACGUCGCGCACUAGUUCUCCAUUAUUUUUAUUGAUUUGUCAUGUUUGUUUAUCUUUAAAAGUCUACAACUUGUGAUCCUAAUGUGUAUAAUUAUUUUUGUAGAGCUGGUUACAUCAUGCAUAUGCAUGGCCCAGUAUAAAUAUAAUGUACACUCAUACAUAGAAAAUGCUUAAGGUUUAAUGUUAAAUAUAGACAUGAUAGAUAUCAACGCGCAUUUGUAUAAAACAUAAACCCAACAAAUACAUACCUUGUUUACUCCCUGC
rnacentral:lncRNA from 1 species